rnacentral:rRNA from 1 species
UACGAAGGGGGCUAGCGUUGUUCGGAAUUACUGGGCGUAAAGCGUGCGCAGGCGGCUUCUCAAGUCAGGGGUGAAAGCCCAGAGCUCAACUCUGGAAUUGCCUUUGAGACUGAGUGGCUUGAGUACGAGAGAGGUGAGUGGAAUUCCCAGUGUAGAGGUGAAACUCGUAGAUAUUGGGAAGAACACCGGUGGCGAAGGCGGCUCACUGGCUCAUUUCUGACGCUCAGGCGCGACAGCGUGGGGAUCAAACAGG